UACAGAGGGUGCGAGCGUUGUCCGGAAUCACUGGGCGUAAAGGGCGCGUAGGCGGCCUGAUAAGUAGGGGGUGAAAUCCUGUGGCUUAACUGCAGGGCUGCCUCCUAGACUGUUGGGCUUGAGCACGGUAGAGGCAGAUGGAAUUCCCGGUGUAGCGGUGGAAUGCGUAGAGAUCGGGAAGAACAUCGGUGGCGAAGGCGGUCUGCUGGGCCGUUGCUGACGCUGAGGCGCGACAGCGUGGGGAGCAAACAGG
rnacentral:rRNA from 1 species